UAAAUAAAUACUUGAAUUAUGUCAAGCUGUAUAUAUGUCAUACAUUCAAAACUGAAUAAAUGUAUCCACACUAUCUAGAUGUCAAAUCAUCAAAUUUCCGCCCCCCCCGAAACAGAAAACACCUUGAAUAUAUGUCAAAAGAUCACCAGCCUUGGCAAAUUAGUGUGCCCGUGAAAACGUAAUCUUCCAUCCCUUUCCACCCCCUCCCACCGUAGAACUACGUUAUCGAGCCAGUUGCAACCCCGACUCGGACCGGGUAACGCGCGCUCGCGGCACACUCAAAUAUAAAUAUCAUUGAAUUUUAAUUAAAAAACUAUACAUAUACAAUCUUGAUUAAUAAACAGUUAUUUUUGUCGUAUUUUAAACAAUUUUUUACAAGUUUUUUCAUUUAGUUUUACGUGAUUUCUUUAAGAGUGGAAAUUAAAGAUGGCGUAACGCGAUUUUUGGGAUUUUUUGUUGUUUUUUCGUCUUCGUCAGCUGGUUUGAGGUAUAGGCGAGCAAAUUAAGCUACAUAUCUCAUCAAAUAAAG